rnacentral:rRNA from 1 species
UACGGAGGGUGCUAGCGUUGUUCGGAAUUACUGGGCGUAAAGGGCGCGUAGGCGGCCGUUUGCGUCGGAUGUGAAAGCCCGGGGCUCAACCUCGGACGGCAUUCGAUACGGGACGGCUGGAGACCGGGAGAGGAGAGUGGAAUAGCCAGUGUAGAGGUGAAAUUCGUAGAUAUUGGCUGGAACACCGGUGGCGAAAGCGGCUCUCUGGCCCGGUUCUGACGCUGAGGCGCGAAAGCGUGGGGAGCAAACAGG